UCAGUUUGAUCCUGGCUCAGGAUGAACGCUAGCGGCAGGCUUAACACAUGCAAGUCGAGGGGCAGCAUAAUGGAUAGCAAUAUCUAUGGUGGCGACCGGCGCACGGGUGCGUAACGCGUAUGCAACCUACCUUUAACAGGGGGAUAACACUGAGAAAUUGGUACUAAUACCCCAUAAUAUCAUAGAAGGCAUCUUUUAUGGUUGAAAAUUCCGAUGGUUAGAGAUGGGCAUGCGUUGUAUUAGCUAGGUUGGUGGGGUAACGGCUCGACCAAGGCGACGAUACGAUAGGGGGACUGGAGACGGUUAACCCCCCANACGUGGUACUGAGACACGGACCAGACUCCGUACGGGAGCU
rnacentral:rRNA from 1 species